UUCUCUCGGUGGAAGAAACCAGAAGAACUAAGAGUGGAGAAAAAGAAAAAGAGGAGGAGAAGAAAAGAAGAAAGAGAAGGAAAAAAAUGAAGAAGAAAUUAAAAGAAAAAGGUAUGUUUAAACCUUUGAUUUAUUUUUCUAUUUAAGUUUUCAUGAAUUUAUAUGAAGAGAUUUUGUUCAUACUUGAUUUAGAUGAUUUAAACUUGUAUAAACAAGGAUCAAAUGAGAAAAAUCUAGAAAUCAAAUGAAAAACAAAAUUUGGAAAUUUUCAGAAAAACUAGUUUACUACUUGAUUUUGUAAAAUCCAUAACUCUUUGUGUAUAAUGAGUUAGGAGAUAAGCCAUAUAUCAAAAGAAAGGUCUGGAAGUAAGCUAACCGCAGAAAUUUGAAUCACCCAAAAAUUCUUUGUAGAUUUUUCGUGGUGACAGUUUGAGUGAAACUGGUCC
rnacentral:lncRNA from 1 species